rnacentral:rRNA from 1 species
ACGGGGCGCAGCAGGCGCGAAACCUUUACACUGCACGCCAGUGCGAUAAGGGGAUCCCGAGUGCACAGGCAUAGAGCCUGUGCUUUUCUGAACCGUAGGGAGGUUCAGGAACAAGAGCUGGGCAAGACCGGUGCCAGCCGCCGCGGUAAUACCGGCAGCUCGAGUGAUGGCCGAUCUUAUUGGGCCUAAAGCGUCCGUAGCUGGCCUUGCAAGUCCGUCGGGAAAUCCACCCGCUCAACGGGUGGGCGUCCGGCGGAAACUGUGAGGCUUGGGACCGGGAGGCUUGAAGGGUACGUCCGGGGUAGGAGUGAAAUCCUGUAAUCCUGGACGGACCGCCGAUGGGGAAACCACUUCAAGAGAACGGAUCCGACAGUGAGGAACGAAAGCUAGGGUCUCGAACCGGAUUAGAUACCCCGGUAGUCC